rnacentral:rRNA from 1 species
UCAGACCUCAGAUCAGACGCGGCGACCCGCUGAAUUUAA